rnacentral:rRNA from 1 species
ACGGAAGGCAGCAGUGGGGAAUAUUGGGCAAUGGGCGAAAGCCUGACCCAGCAACGCCGCGUGAAGGAAGAAGGUCCUCGGAUUGUAAACUUCUUUUAUCAGGGACGAAGAAAGUGACGGUACCUGAUGAAUAAGCCACGGCUAACUACGUGCCAGCAGCCGCGGUAAUACGUAGGUGGCGAGCGUUAUCCGGAUUUACUGGGUGUAAAGGGCGCGUAGGCGGGGAUGCAAGUCAGAUGUGAAAUCCAUGGGCUUAACUCAUGAACUGCAUUUGAAACUGUAUCUCUUGAGUGUCGGAGAGGUAGAUGGAAUUCCUAGUGUAGCGGUGAAAUGCGUAGAUAUUAGGAGGAACACCAGUGGCGAAGGCGAUCUACUAGACGAUAACUGACGCUGAGGCACGAAAGCGUGGGGAGCAAACAGGAUUAGAUACCCUGGUA